rnacentral:rRNA from 1 species
GGAUUAAUACUCUUGGAUAGUGGACGUUACUCGCAAAAAAACCGGCUAACUCUGUGCCAGCAGUUUGGUAAUAAAACU